CGAAAGCCUGACGCAGCCAUGCCGCGUGUGUGAAGAAGGCCUUCGGGUUGUAAAGCACUUUCAAUUGGGAGGAAAGGUUCACGGCUAAUACCCGUGAGCUAUGACGUUACCUUUAGAAGAAGCACCGGCUAACUCCGUGCCAGCAGCCGCGGUAAUACGGAGGGUGCAAGCGUUAAUCGGAAUUACUGGGCGUAAAGCGCGCGUAGGUGGUCUGUUAAGUCGGAUGUGAAAGCCCCGGGCUCAACCUGGGAACUGCAUCCGAUACUGGCAGACUAGAGUGCGGGGGAGGGAGGUAGAAAUCCA
rnacentral:rRNA from 1 species